UAAUAGAUCCGCCGGUUUUUCCGUUGAUUCCAAAACAAUCAGGGCUAAACUAGACCUUUCUGUUUUCUCUUCUUUCUUCUUCCUCGAACAACAGAGGAACCCCAACUCCAAAAUCCCAGUUCAAUACCUAGGUUUCCAUUGAAAUUUUCUCUUAUUUCUUCGUCGUCCCUAAAUCGAUCAGAGAUUACUCCAGACCCAAAAUGAAUGUUUUCUUAGGAUUGUAUUUGUGAUUUCAUUAGUGUUUUGUACAAUGAUUUCAUUAUUUUUCAAUUUUGUACAAAAAUUGAAAUCCCAACUGAAAUCGAUUUCCAGGCUCGAAAACUCAUCACAUCCUGGGGUUGAGGGAGGUCCCAAGGUUCGAUUGUUCAUAUUUGGAAAGGAUUAAUUUAUUUCAGAAGAUUGGUUAGAUAAAAUCCAGUCAGACGAGCAACUUCUAUAAUGAAAACGGACGAAAUAGCUUGUGAGACAGGUACAAACAACUAACAACAUACGAAGAAUGUAAUCGGAUAAAAGAAUGGAAGGGCAGGCGCAAAGAACAGAAGGACGGGCGCAUCGCGCGUGCGUGUUAUACUAGUAAUAAAAGGACGAUGUUUUUUUUUUGAUUCAAUAGAAAGACAUUGUUGAUUACCAAAAUCUUAAGAAAUAAGGAAUCCAUCGAGCCUAACCAAUGUUGGAGGCUGUUUUGAAUUUUUCCAAGUGAACUUCCUCCGAAUAAUUACAAAUUAAUCAACUCAUUCCUAUCGA